rnacentral:rRNA from 1 species
UACGUAGGGUGCAAGCGUUGUCCGGAUUUAUUGGGCGUAAAGAGCUCGUAGGCGGUUUGCCGCGUCUGCUGUGAAAACUCGAGCUCAACCUCGAGACGCCGAUGGAAACCCCCCAGCUAGAGUCCGGAAGAGGAGAGUGGAAUUCCUGGUGUAGCGGUGAAAUGCGCAGAUAUCAGGAAGAACACCCGUGGCUAAGGCGGCUCUCUAGUACGGUACUGACGCUGAGACGCGAAAGCGUGGGGAGCGAACAGG